ensembl:ncRNA lncRNA:CR45328 long non-coding RNA:CR45328
GAGGGAGGUCACCCACCGCCAUUGUUUGUUUGUCUCCGGCUCAAUCCUAGAUGAGUAAUGUCAUCAGCCGAAUUGCUUGGCCCCCACCUUGGCCGACCCCAAUAAAAAAAUGUCCAACUUUCCACCCACACUGUCUGCGAAUGACUUCGCCAUGUCCAAAGUCCAUAGCGAUAGUCUCGAUUGCGUUUUACGAUCCAUGUGGCAUGUGACUGAAGUGUGCCACCGAUCGAAGGAUAUAAAUCGCGUGAUUAUGGACUGAUUAUUAUCAGUCACGAAGGCGCCGUAUAAAGUUUAUUGAUCCACUUUCGAUUUUUCUAUAGUGUCUUUCGAUUUCAAACUGACACGAAACCCCGUAAAUCUUUUGGCAAGAUUUCUCAGAAGAGAUCUUAAAGAUAUUAGUCAAUGUUCCAUAAUGAUAUAUGACAUAUAUGCCAUAUAUAUGACAUAUAUAUAUAUAUGACUGAAUAUUAAUUUGCAUAUAAAUUCAUUUAACAUUUUUCGUUGGGUUUUAUUUACUUUUUACAUUUUCCUUACGUUACAUACUUCGAUUUUACAUUGUAUUUUACACAAAAGCUUGAAAGCAUGGAAUAUCUUUUCGGUUAAAGAAUAAAUUAAGCUUUCGUGUCGGCGUAAGUUACGG